rnacentral:tRNA from 1 species
GGACCCAUAGCCCAAUUGGAUAAGGCGUCUGUCUACGGAACAGAAGAUUAAAGGUUCGAGUCCUUUCGGGUCCGCCA